AUUGAACGCUGGCGGAAGGCCUAACACAUGCAAGUCGAGCGAGCGGCGGCCGGGUAAGUAAUGUAUGGGAAACUGACCGAUAGAGGGGGAUAACUACUGGCACCGGUGUCUAAUACCGCAUCCAAUCGAAUGUGCCAAUAGGUGAUUAGAUAGUAGGUGGGGUAAUGGCUCACUUAGGCGACGAUCCCUAACUGGUCUGAGAGGAUGACCGGCCACACUGGGACUGAGACACGGUCCAGACUCCUACGUGAGGCAGCAGGUGGGAAUAUUGCACAAUGGGCGCAAGCCUGAUGCAGCCAUGCCGCGUGGAUGAAGAAGGCCUUCGGGUUGUAAAGUACUUUCAGCGGGGAGGCGGUACCCGCAGAAGAAGCACCGGCUAACUCCGGGCCAGCAGCCGCGGUAAUAC
rnacentral:rRNA from 1 species